AUCGCUUCUCGGCCUUUUGGCUAAGAUCAGAUAUUUGGCUUAUCAGCUUAAUAUCUGGUAUGGCCCUAUGAUGGGUCUAUGAUAUUAACUUUAUUUUUGGAAAGCGGCGCCGUGUACGGGGCUUGCCCUCACGGCGCCACGGGUCGUUCCGGCGUUGCACUACAGCCGGGCACGGAGCACUGUUG
rnacentral:snRNA from 1 species